AAUCCUUGCAUCGGGCACUUUUGUAGUAACUCCUUGAAACACUCCCAAGCUUCAUGUGGAUUUUUGUCUUCAAGUUGCUUGAAAUAGGUAAGGUCAUUCCUAAGCUU